ACCGACUUACGUUGAAAAGUGAGCGGAUGAACUGAGGGUAGCGGAGAAAUUCCAAUCGAACCUGGAGAUAGCUGGUUCUCUCCGAAAUAGCUUUAGGGCUAGCCUCAAGUGAUGAUUAUUGGAGGUAGAGCACUGUUUGGACGAGGGGCCCCUCUCGGGUUACCGAAUUCAGACAAACUCCGAAUGCCAAUUAAUUUAACUUGGGAGUCAGAACAUGGGUGAUAAGGUCCGUGUUCGAAAGGGAAACAGCCCAGACCACCAGCUAAGGUCCCAAAAUAUAUGUUAAGUGGAAAAGGAUGUGGCGUUGCCCAGACAACUAGGAUGUUGGCUUAGAAGCAGCCAUCAUUUAAAGAGUGCGUAAUAGCUCACUAGUCGAGUGACACUGCGCCGAAAAUGUACCGGGGCUAAACAUAUUACCGAAGCUGUGGAUUGUCCUUUGGACAAUGGUAGGAGAGCGUUCUAAGGGCGUUGAAGCAUGAUCGUAAGGACAUGUGGAGCGCUUAGAAGUGAGAAUGCCGGUGUGAGUAGCGAAAGACGGGUGAGAAUCCCGUCCACCGAUUGACUAAGGUUUCCAGAGGAAGGCUCGUCCGCUCUGGGUUAGUCGGGUCCUAAGCUGAGGCCGACAGGCGUAGGCGAUGGAUAACAGGUUGAUAUUCCUGUACCACCUAUAAUCGUUUUAAUCGAUGGGGGGACGCAGUAGGAUAGGCGAAGCGUGCGAUUGGAUUGCACGUCUAAGCAGUAAGGCUGAGUAUUAGGCAAAUCCGGUACUCAUUAAGGCUGAGCUGUGAUGGGGAGAAGACAUUGUGUCUUCGAGUCGUUGAUUUCACACUGCCGAGAAAAGCCUCUAGAUAGAAAAUAGGUGCCCGUACCGCAAACCGACACAGGUAGUCAAGAUGAGAAUUCUAAGGUGAGCGAGCGAACUCUCGUUAAGGAACUCGGCAAAAUGACCCCGUAACUUCGGGAGAAGGGGUGCUCUUUAGGGUUAACGCCCAGAAGAGCCGCAGUGAAUAGGCCCAAGCGACUGUUUAUCAAAAACACAGGUCUCUGCUAAACCGUAAGGUGAUGUAUAGGGGCUGACGCCUGCCCGGUGCUGGAAGGUUAAGAGGAGUGGUUAGCUUCUGCGAAGCUACGAAUCGAAGCCCCAGUAAACGGCGGCCGUAACUAUAACGGUCCUAAGGUAGCGAAAUUCCUUGUCGGGUAAGUUCCGACCCGCACGAAAGGCGUAACGAUUUGGGCACUGUCUCAACGAGAGACUCGGUGAAAUCAUAGUACCUGUGAAGAUGCAGGUUACCCGCGACAGGACGGAAAGACCCCGUGGAGCUUUACUGUAGCCUGAUAUUGAAAUUCGGCACAGCUUGUACAGGAUAGGUAGGAGCCUUUGAAACGUGAGCGCUAGCUUACGUGGAGGCGCUGGUGGGAUACUACCCU
rnacentral:rRNA from 1 species